rfam:Dipodomys ordii contig_22407, whole genome shotgun sequence.
GGGAAGGUGGCUCAGUGGUAGAGCACUUGCCUUGCAUGCAUGAGGCCCUGAGUUGGAUUCCUCAGCACCCCA